rnacentral:lncRNA from 1 species
GGAGAGAAGAAACCAAAGCCAAGACGCAAGCGUAGUAAGAAGAACAAAGGUGGAGAAAACAGUGCUAACGACAUGAACAAAAAGAGGAAAUUGAGUGAUGAACAAGUGAAUAUUUUGGAAGAAAACUUUGGAAAUGAACAUAAACUUGAGUCAGAGAAGAAGGAUAGGCUUGCAAUGGAGCUUGGUUUAGAUCCAAGACAAGUUGCAGUAUGGUUCCAGAAUCGAAGGGCUAGGUGGAAGAACAAGAAACUUGAAGAAGAGUACUUCAGUCUUAAAAAAAUUCAUGAAUCCACCAUUCUUGAGAAGUGUCUUCUUGAAACCAAGGUAUACCUCUCUCUUCCUCUUCUUAUUUAAUUAAACUAUGUUAAUUUGCUUUUUAAUUAACUAUUAUUAAAAAUUAAAAUCAGUGGAUUGGAUUAUAACUUGACAUAAAUUUUUUAAUUCCAACAAUAUUAUAUUACUAUAGUGUUUUGUUUUUAUUUGUCUCAACACAACACCAGUAACGUCAAUUUAGGGCAAGCAUGUUACCAUGUUUCUUCUCUGGUGGUCUUGAUAUUUUUUCUAUUCUCGUUUAGCUCUAAAAAAGUUGUUUGCUUAGUUUAAUCCACUAAAUGUUGUUGAUAGAGAGAAGAAACACUAGCAUGCAACCGGUUCUUUAGGACAAAGCAAAAAGAAAAGAAACCCCUUAAAUGAAAAAUGAUAAAGUAGAAACUUAGACCCACCACAUGAACGUUCGUUCAUAUGAGCUCUGGGCUCGAUGAAAUCCAAACCGUACAUUAUUAAGUUUUCACUACUCAGCCACACGAUAUUUCAUGUCACGUGGAAUUUAGAAAAAAAAAAAUGAUAUACGUGAAAUUAAAAGAAAGAUAAAUCAGAAGCAUAAACAAGGAAUUCCAAAAAUGUCACCAUAUUUCCGUACAAUAUUAUUUCAUAUGUUCCAUUAAUUGUUUGUAGCUAAGGGAGCAACACUCAGAAGCAUUAAAGCUAAGGGAGCAACUCUCAGAAGCUGAGAAAGAAAUUCAAAGGCUUCGAGAGCCAUUUGAAAGGGUAACAAGCAGCAGUUCAAGUACUUCAUCCAUGUCUCAGUCAGUGGAAGUUGUGGACCCACCUUUUCUUGGUGAAUUUGGUGUUGAUAACGGAUAUGAUGACGACGUAUUUUUCAUGCCCAAUGAAACAUGUUACUACAAUGGCAUGGAAUGGAUAAGUUUGUACAUGUAGAAGAAAAAAAAAAAAAGAAUAUAUUAGUAAUAAUAUAGCAUUUGUACAUAAUGUGAAUGAUCCCAAUAUGUAAAUUAAUUGUUUGCUACUAGCUAGUGUGUUUAUUUAACUAUGAUUUGGGAACAUAUAUAUCCAUUAACAUAAUGAUUUUCAUUUUGACUCCAAAUGGUAUGGUAUCCACUACUUUAGUUUUUGUCACCUUCUAUAAGAUGUAUAUAUUCAUGUGUCGUGUGUUUUAAGCUCAUCAAAUUAUCAAUGCUAUAUUUCACAUGAAUUUCUUAGACGGGAAGUAUACAAAUUGAGAGUUAAAUAAGUCAAAUUAGCAUUGGGAUAAGCUUGGCUUUAUAUGGUAAUAAUGAGAUUGAAUUCUAAUCAAACGGGUCACCUUAUUUCUAUUUUAUUUUUGGCAAUAUAUGCAUAUGCUUCUGACUUUUUUUUUGUUGACUUUUUCUGACUUAUUGUUUGGGGGAAUAUGUAUUAAAAAUGGUGGAAUAUUUUCUUACUCACUUAAAUUUGCAAACGUUUGUGUCUAGUGCAUAUUAUUAACAGUAUAGGGUUUCAAAAAAUAACAAGAUAAAAUUACAAUGACAUGACAUAUCAAAAUAAGAUUACAAAGAUAAUAUAUAAAGUAAAUUACACUCUCAUCUAUUGAGAAAUGUUUAAAUUACUCUACUCUCUCAUCUUAUGUCAAAAUAUACACACUCCUCUCCUCCUUUAAGCAAAACAUAUUGAAAAAAAAUUACACUUCCCUCCCAUUAGAGAAAUUUGAAUUACAUUCGCAUCUCCUCUAAUGUUAAACUCUACACUUCAUUCCUUUAAUAUUUUUUAUUUUUAUUUUUAAUAGUAUAACAAGGAAAAUUUAACGCACACAUGACGAUAAAAAAGAGUGCAAAUCCAUUUUAUGAUAAUCAAAAUUCGAAUCAUAUUUUUUUCUACGUUUGAUAUAUAGUAUCAUUACCAUAUAAAUACAAAAUAACCAAAACCACCAAAACAAAAUUCGAAUCAUUAUUAUAAAAUAUGAUACAGUACAAAAUAAAUUAAUUUUUCAAAAUCACCAAAACCAAUGAAAUAGAAAUAAUCAAAAAUGUAUUUUAUAUUCUAAAUCAUUAAGUUAAUGAUAAAAUAAUCAAAUUGUUUUUAUCAUUGAUAUUAAAAUUAAAAAUAAAUGAAUUACUUUUUCUUGAAUGAUAAAUCAAAAUUUGUAGAUAUCAUAAAAAAUGUUUAUUUAUGCAAAUAUGGAUUGAAAUAUAGUACACGAAUAAUUCUUAGGGUUGGGGGGAAUGUAAUCCAAGCAUCUCUUAGAGGAAGGGAGUAUAAUUUAUUUUCGAUUUACUUUCAAGGGAGAGGGGCCUAUAUUAUAACAUAAGAGGGGAGGAGAGUGUACUUCAAACAUCUCUUAAGGGAAGGGAGUGUAAUGUACUCUAAUAUAUAUAGUCUAUUUCUUUUUCCAUCAUUCUCUUUUCUCGCACGUCCUACUAAUUAACCAAAAUACUUCGUUUAGAUUAUAUAUAAUCCGAACAAAAAAAAUAUGAUUUGUAUUAUAUAAUCUGAAAUAUGCCUACUUAUAAGCAACAGUCAAAAUCUUCUCUUGUUUUAGCAAAUGUGAAUUUUGUUUUCAAAACAACAAAAAUACAAAGUAACAAUUUAUAAUACAUGUGCAAUAAAAUAAUAAAUAUAUAAAAAUAAAACCAAAAAAUUCUAAAAAUCAAAUAAAACUAAUGGAAUUCUUUUUGGAUUUUUCUUAGAAUAUGAAAAAUAAAAAUUAAAAAAAAUAGGUUUAUACGAUGAUAUUUUAGAUUUUGAAAGGUCGAGUCCCAUAAGAAGUCACUUAUAAGAGAGUCUUGUUCCUUGAUUUUUUUCUCUUUUUAUGGGAAAGUUUAGGAGCAAACUGAUCAAAUAGUUUGAAAACUAAAUUUUAGGUCGGGACACGGCAGGAACGACUAACAUUGACUUGAAACACAAAGAGGGGGUCAUGAUGGUUCUUAAACUUGUUGUCCCUUAAACAUGUUGGGACCUGAAACAUUGACCUGAAGAAAGCUUAAAAAAGUAAUGCCAAUCCUCAGUCUAUGCUAACUCAAGUUCUCAAUGCCAAAUAUUUUCCACAUAGUGGUUUUCUUGAAGCGAGAAUUGGUAAUAAUGUAAGUUUUAUUUGGAGAAGCAUAUGCACUUCGUGUGUAUUAUUAUUAAAGAGAGGAUGUAUUAGAAUAUUGGAGAUGGUACACAUAUUAUUAGAUGGUUAAUCCAUAAUAAGUGGAUUUAACUUAAUUGAUUUUUCUAGCUUAAUGGAGUUUAUGGAAAAGCUGAAAUCUAAAAUUGUGGGAUGAAAUUGAUGAAAAUGUUCAAACAAAAUAUUGUAAUAUCCCUUUCUUUCUCAAUCAACGGAAGUUUACAUGGAAAGUGCAGCUCCUCGAUCAAGUGUGAGUGUUAUGAUCCAUGAGAAGAUGAGAUUCUCUCAUAUAUACCAUUUGAUCUGUCGAGUGAGGAACUGAUGGAGGCAACAAUGACGAAAAGUGCUCCGAUACGGUGACGAUGAGUCUUUGCGGUGGGACGAAAGGUGCAUUCAGACACGUUAGCACUCUAACGCUUAAGUCAGUAUGAGAAAUGAGAUUGAAUGUGUGAAAAAUGUGGGAAAAGUGAAUCAUACAUCAGAGGUGAAGCUAAGUCACCCUUAUAUAUGCGUGUGUGAGAAUAACCGUCCACGUGAAAUGCGGCGAGUAAUUAGGAAGCCGUUGGAGGACACGUGUCCGGUGCCUGAUGUACGGGGACGUGCUCCAGUUGGGUAAAGUGCAUUGUUGUUCGUGUGCUCCUUGAGGCGAUGCACCUUAGUUUGAUGGACGUUCGGUCCACGUGUCAAUGUUGGACUGGUUCUCUAGCCGUCCUAAGCACCAUCCAAUCACCAAUAUGCUCCAUUUAAUUGAUUCGUUGACGCACAUAUUAUCCAGAGAGCCAAAUCAUAAAGUUUGAUCAGGGUGUGCUUGAGAACCACGAAACAAUCCAUGACAUAAAGUUUAAAAUAAAAAGUAGAAGGAAGGAGCGGGUGAGAAAUCCUGAAGGUUAUCUUCGGAUCAAAGAACACCUGAGAGAUUAAACCUAGCUAGGCAAUGAUCGAUUUUCUUUGGUCCCAAGAUUCCAUUUCCACUUCCCUCCCAUGGACACAUGUCCCAUAUUUUAUGCCUAUCACAUGUCUUAUUUUUGUAACAUACAUUGUCUUUAAUUAGUACUCGAUUUGUACCCAAUGUUAUUAUCAAAAUUAUUAGUUUUUAUCUCUAGAUUGAGAACCCAAAAAGUAAAAAAUAAGAAAAGAAAAAGUCUAGAAAAGAUAGCAACAAAAUCAGUGGCAUGCAUGUGCUUAAGCCAGUGGUAGUUUAAUUACGGAAUGAAUUAUUAUCACUUACCAGUGUCAAUUUAUUAAGGGACUAAAAAAUUAAUUAAAUCAAGUAGCAAGAAUCUUUGAUUAUUCUAUACAAGCCUCUCGAAGAUACUGACUUAGCUGUGGAGAUUUGUUGCUUUUAUAUGGGGAAUAAUUAAUUCAACCUUUUGAUGAAAGGGACUAGCUUAGGCUUUGUCUUCCAAUGGAAAGCUCGUCUCUUUUCUUGAUGGCUUUUUCUUCACAUUAUUUUUCCAACUAGCUACUAGUACUUGUGUAUUUUGUUGCAUGCAUGGUGUAGAAAAUCGAUACUUAACCAGUUGAUCUUGUAAAAUCUAUUUUGAUCAAAUGUACGUUGAAUGUAAAAUCUAUUUUUAAAAAUGUGUAUUUUGAUCAUUUUAAAAACUUCAGAUUUUUUUAAUGGAGACUCACGGUAAAUGACCAAUUUAAAACUAAUUUUUUUUAAAAUGAUUGAUCUAAUAUUUUCUUCGAUCCUAUUUAUAAGAAAAUUUUCAAAAAGAUCUCAAGAACCAAGGACACUACCUUGGUCCAUGCACUUUGGAGUGAUUGGUUCAUAUUUCGUGGGGGUGUGUGAGCCACUCUAGUCUCUCAACCUCGAAGUUAGAGCUAGACAGUGAUGAACAAAUUAAGCUAAUGCCCCAAUUGUGGCGCAAUUUAGGGGUUGUUGAAAACUAGAGCUAUAGGUGAAGCAUAAAGAAGGAAAGGAACAGUGGAGGCUUACCCGUUCAGUUCACAACCAUGCAUAUACACUUACUUAAAAAAUUGAUAUAGCCACUGAUAUUAAAUUAAGCACGUGGUAAUGGGAGUAAUAUUUUAUUCAAUGGCUAGCGUGAAAGGGAUUAGUAUGGAAGGAGGGAAACAUGGAAGUGUAUUGUUUGUGUGUGACAUAUACAACACAACAAAAUUGACAGUUCAUUGUGUAUAAUUAAUCAACUAUAAUAAUUAGAUACCUUUUGUCUUUAAGGUGCUUGUGCUUGUGUGUGACGAUGGAAGGUGGUGGAUACCGUGUUUGCAGUGCUUGUUUUUUUGGAGUUUGUGUUAGGUGGUGAUGUAUUUUGGUGGGUGUUGUUUUUGGAUUUUCAAACUGUUGUAUUUGAAUUUUCAAAUUCUAUUAUCUACCGAAGUUGUUACUAGGUUGAGUCACGACCAGGUCGCUCUCUUUAAGACGUUUCGUGGCACUGUCCAAAAUUGUGCAAGGCAGACUAUCAACCACGCUGCCUCCAGGAUAAAACAAGCUCAGCUGCAACUGUGCGGUUAACUACUACACUGUAGAAAACCGUUCGAGAAUUACACCUCCAAAUAUGGUACUAAGACCACUCUUUAAUACUGAAACCACCUAUGGUAUUGUAACCACUCUGUUAUGGUGUUGAGACCACUCAAAUAUGGUGUUGCCACCAUUCUAACUUUAAUUUCUCCAAAACUUCAAUAUGGCACUACGACCACUCAAAUACGGUGAUACCACCAUUUCUCCUCAAAUAGAAAAAUAUUGAAAUACUUUUUAUAUAUACUGUUAAGAUCAUUCUUAAUUUUGACGGGACAUUGUUAUUCCAAAUAGGGACUAUGAUCUUAAAAGUACUCUUUAUUCUGAAGGGACAUUUAUCGAAGGGACUAUGUUUUUAAGACCAUUCUUAAUUCCGAAGGGACAUUAAACCGAAAAGGGACAAUGGUCUUAAGAAAACUCUUAUUUCCGAAGGGACAGAAAGGAGUAGAAAAAGGAGAAGGACUUGUCCACACAAGUCGAAGGAGGGAGAAGAGAAGAAAAACACAGGAAGCAUCAACUGUGAAUUUCGGCGUGUUUUUGAACUAAGCGGAGUCCUCUAUUUAUAUAGAGAUUCUGUAUCUGUUUUAGCAAAAAUUGCGACAACAGUUACUCUAAUGGAUAAAAUUAAAAUGGAGUUUAUCCAUUAAUCAGUUCAACAACACUUGUGGAUAGGAUCAAAAGAAACAAAUCCACAAAAGUGGAGGAAACUAAACUAUUGGAUUUGAAUGAAUGAAAUAUAAUAAUAAUUAAAUUAUUAUUCUUAUCACAACCACCAUAAGCUAAAUUUAUGGAAAAUAAUAUUCUCGAAUAAAAUAAUAAUUACUAUUAAUUUUUAUCAUUAUCAAGUAUUUAAAAUUAAAUACCACAAUUUAAACACUACUAAUGUGUGUGUUCUAUUUUAUGUGGGACCCCCACACUCUAUUUUUUCAAUUCACACAACAUUAGAUCAGAGUAUAAUUACUUUGUGUUUAAUCUUCCAAUUUUUCAUCCAACAUCACAUCAAUGUUCCAACAGUGGGUUAAUCUCCAGAUGUGUUUUUAGGUGGUUAUGGUGUACCGUCUAUAUGCGGCACCAUUUGUAUCUUGAUUUGUCCAUACCUUGCGUCUUGCAUGGAUGAUGUUUAAUAAUAUUUGCCGAUUAAAAAAAAACAUACAUUUUGUUUUUCUACAUCUUUCCAAAUCCAACACUUUAUUUUCUCCUUAUUCCUCUCUUUCUAUAACAUCAUCAAACUAUUACAUUACAUGUAUCAUAUCACUCUUUGUUCUCUUUGUUUUCCUUUGUUUCAAGAUAUAUACCAUUAAGGGGUGUACACAAAACAUUUUCCAUAAUUGAUAUCACUCACAUGUAUCAAUAUCCAAUUAUUGCUAUUCAUGCAAUCUAUGCAAACACUAAUGUAUCCAUGCGUAAGAUGGAAUGCAAACCUAUCAUUGAGGCUUGAGAGGUUCCUAUUUUUGCUUGCAAAGGCAAAAUUAAUUAAUGAUCAUAUCCUAAAAAUUUACGAGAGCACGUUUGGUGUUUGAAGGAUAGAACCAGGUUCCAUAAUUUGUGAUGUUAAGGGGGUGGAGAGUAAAUGUUUGCUCAUAAAAAUUGUUACACAUGGAUCAUGUGUAUGUGUUGGAGUUCAUAUAGUGUCCCAGUCCAAUGUGGUAUAGAUUCAUAAAAAGCGGGUCCACUAUGUUGAAUCAUGUUAAUUUAAAUAAUUUAAGCGUGGGUUUGUUUUUGCUGUAGUAAAUGUUGAUUUUGAUUAAAUUGACUCAGAUUAAAAGUGAGUUAAAUUGAUUCAUGUUUAAAUAAUAUAUGGAUGUAACAUUUUCCCAUCCAAAAUCGCUUUACGUGUGUCAAUUAAAUCAUAUUCAAUUGAUUUAUGAAUAUUGCACUUUGAUUAGCCAGGGUGUGACUAAAAUUCUUGAUUAGGAUACCUCAUUAAACUAAAUGAAAGUUGGAAGAUGGGAAACAAGGGCUGGUUGUGUCGGAAUAAACAUGAGUACAUGACACCCACUUGUUUAAUUAAGCCCCAUUUGGUUUUCAUUUGAUUGAUUAGUUUAGCCAAAGUUAAGAUUAUUAGCAUGACAAAUACAACUCAAAAGCAUAACCAAAAGGAAUCUCGCCCGUGUUACGAGCAUGUUCUCUACCAUAUUUUAUUAUCCAUUCUCCAUUAAAUUAAACAAAGUACAUUCCAAAUUAAACAAUUAAAAUCUAACAAUUAAGAUAUGUCAAAUUGAUAAAUCCCAAAUUUUGUUAUUUUUUUACACCACUUACGUGUUUUAUGAUAUUCAUCUUUAACUACAUGAACGUCUUGUAUGAAUUCGGUCAUAAGGUCAACUUUAUUACUCUUAAAUUUUUUAAAUAAAAUGUUACAUUUACUUGCUAUCUUUUAAUUAAUAUAAAAUUUAUUUUUCAUUAGAAAUAAAAUCUACUUCUAAAUUAUUUUUGAGAAAUCCAUAUAUUAGAUAUUUUCUUUCAAGGAAUCCAUAUUAAAUACUUAAUUACCACACCUUUAUAUUUGUUUAAUUAACUCUAGUAAUAACGAAUUCACUGGACGAAGCAUAUCAUAUCCAUAUCCUACUUUGCUAUCUCACCAUAUCCUAUUUUCAUUAAAAUAAGCAUGCCUAUUGUACACACCAAAAAUAUAAUCCAAAGUUUCACCCCCAGAAAUAGAAAAAUGCCAAAGCAUAUCCAAAUUCACUUUUGGCUUGAAAACGAUGUGAGCUCUUUGACAUAUUUACCUCCCACUUUCGAAAUUUCUCUUCUUGAUAUAAGGUUCGUUGAAUACGUUCCCCAUUCCGUUUCUGAUGGGUUAUUAUUUUCUAGCUAGUUUUGAAGUGUCUAUACUCUAUAGGGAAAAAACACUUUAACCAUAUUAAGUAUCAUUUCUACUGUACGUCUUCUUCACGCUACAUGAAAUUCACAUUCAUACAUGUCAGUGACAACAAAGGAUACAAGUGAUCAAUGUAUAUUUGGAAUAUUGGAAAUUGAGUUGAGUGUGUGGCCAUUGUGAUCUAGGUGCAUGUUUGGAAUUUUUUCCCAAAAAAUGCAUAAUGGUUUUACAAACAAAUAAUCUUAAGACCAAAAAUCUAUAUGUAGAAGCACCAUUAUGAUAGCAAAUUAUGUUAGCAACACACUCUUCUAGUUAAAUAAUCGUUAAUUUGCGUUAAAAAAUCAUUAAAAAAUCUAGAUUAGCUAAAAUUCAAAUGAGUUUUAGUAAAAUUAUGUGGGGCCUAUAAAAUUUAGGAGGACCGGAGAAGAGUUCAUUAAAUGAUGUGUUUAUAACAUUUCUCUUUUAACCAAGUGAUAUGAGAAAUGUAAAUGGUGACCAAUGUAUCUUAGUUAAAAGAAUAAUUAAUAGUGGUAAUCAUCAUUAGAUUUAAAAUAUCCACUAUAAUCAACUAUUGACAAAUUUUAGUUAAAGAAUCUAUACAUGUAAAAUGACUUAUUUUCUCUAAAUUAAGUGUUUUCAUAUGAAAAAGUAUAUGUUUAAGAUGUCAUAAUCUCUUAUAUCUUGAAUCGAACGCAAGUUAUUUGAUAAUUUCAAGGUUAUUGCUCUUCUCCCAUCUAAUUUUGUUUGUUCCUGUUAAAAUAGUUUAGUAUGAGUUAACCCACAUAUGUAAUGUACAUUUUUAACAUAAGUUAACUCACGAAUGUAUAUUUUUCACGGUAAUGAAAAAAACAUACGGGAGAAGAGCAAUUUUCUAAUACCAAUGAAUUAUUUGUGGACUAUUUGGUGAAGGAAAAAUUUACGUGGACAACUUUUUUACUGCAUUACUACGUGCAUGAAUUUUUAACCGUAUGAAAUUGGAACAUUGCCUUGUCAAGUUUGGCGGCUAUAGUGUUCGUGUAGACAAAAGUCACUGCUCACCAAUUGUUUAGGUGAAUAAAAAACCAACACGUGUAAUAUGGAUAGAGGGUGUGGUCCCUUUGAAGCCAUUAGGGGAAGGGACACGCAACAAGGUUGUUCAGUUGCACCCAUGUGCUUCUCUUUAGGCAUGGAUAAUACGUCUUUUUCACCCUAACUCUUCUCUCUGGGUUUUGCUUCAACUUUUUUUAGCUUCUUCUUCCCAUUUCCAAGCCCUUUAAGUUUGACUAUUGGCUUUACCUUUAUGUCUCAUUCAACUUGAGCUUUUAACCAAUCAACUUUUCACAACUCAGCUCACUCUAUCUGAUCUCUUCCUUUAGAACAAAAUUUGAAGUUAUUUAUUGUUUUUGAAAAAGUUGAUCCUCUUCGCAAAGUGGUUUAAUUUUUACAAGAGCCAGAUAAUUAAGUAUCUAGAAGAUGAAUUAUUAAGUAAGUGUAUGUGCAUUUUCUUUUAUACGAAGUGUAUAUGUUAAGGGAGUUUCUACUGUACAUUCUUAAAUUAAGGUGUAUCAGUAUACUUAUUUCACAAAUCAACAAAUUAACGAUCAUUUUUAUGUAGUAAAGAGCUAUUUGUUGACUUUUAUAUUUUAAAAAAUAUUAUUUCAUACGAAAAAAUAAAAAUCAUUUCAUUGUUUAUAAUAAUCAUGCUAAUUUUUUUUUUACAUUUUAUCGAAAAAAAAUAAUCAAUAUCCAUUAUUAUGAGUAAUAAAUAAUUUAAAAGUUAAAAUUUGCUUCGCCGACACUUUUGAGAAAUAAAAUACAGUUAUUAUAAUUGUAAUCAUGCUAAUUUUUUUUUACAUUUUAUCAAAAAAAUAAUCAAUAUCCAUUAUUAUGAGUAAUAAACAAUUUAAAAGUUGAAAUUUGCUUCGCCGACACUUUUGAGAAAUAAAAUACAGUUAUUAUAAUUGUAAAUAAUAGAAAAUAUAUUUUUUCUAAAAAAUAUAACUCAUUAAACUAUUAAUUUAAAUAUGAAUAUACCAGUACACUCAAAUUUUUCAAGUGUAUCAUAUAAUUUAACGUAUGUUAAUAUUUGCUAUAUCAUGUAUCACGAGAAAGCAGCUAUUCUUUUUAGAAAAAGAAACCACAAUUUAUACCUUAGUGCAAGGUUUAUUCCCUUCUUAUUCCAUCAUAUAUAAGUAAAAUCUUGCCUGGAAUUGUGAGAAGAUAAUGUUCACUUUAGGUCAUAACCCUCUGAUCAAAAGGGGACUUAUUCUAAUAAUAUGAUUAAUAAUUGUUUUAUUUUGAAAUCAAACUCAGGUUAUUUCCGAACAAAUAACCCUCAGGUGAAACUGUUGGGGAAUCUAAGGGAAGCUGGAAGUAAAGACGGAUUAAUGCUCUAGGGCCACAAGAGAGGGAAACAAUUACACCUCUUUACAUGUAAAAAUAAUAGAUAUGUGUGCAUUUCAGUCAACAAAAAAUAUUUAUCUUUCUCAAUGACAACACAAAUAUAACAAUUUUUUUUUCUAAUAACAACAACAAUAUAACAUUAUUAUAAGAAAAUUUGUUCAAGGAUAAAUUUGGAAUAACAAAAAAUCCAGCUCAAAAUACCCCAAAAUCUUGUAUUCUUUUUAUAUAGUAUAGAAGAUAUAGAUAACCACACAAAAAAAUAAUGUUUUUGUUCAUAGUACUGCUAAUAUUGUAUAGCAAACCCUUGACCUAAGCGUGCCCUCUCUAGCAACAAAUUCAAUUGUGCUACCAUAUCACGUACUCUUAAUUGCCAACUCUCUCGCACCAAACACAUAAUAUUUACUAACAACCUACCUUCACACCAGUCUACUUGGUUGAAGACAUGAAGUCCUUAUCCAAAUAAAAAUGAGGGUGUUAUUAAUACCUUUUUUAAAUUGAGGAUGUUACUAAUAACCAUAUUUUCAAUUAUAUAUGUUCCCUUCUUUUUAUCAUAUUCAAAAAAUAGUUCUGACUUAAUUAACCAAGAAAACAAUUGAUUUGAUCCGUUAAGAAAAAAACUCCAUGAUUGAUUGGAAAGAUUGGAAAGAGUGCAAUUUGCAUGUACUACCAUUUGUUACCAAAAGAUGUGCGCAAUGAAGAGCGUGGAUAGAACAGAUACCAGAAUUAAAAAGAGAAAAAAGUCAUCAUCUGCAAACACCAACAACCCUUGUCUCUUUAUGGAACCCUAAAAGAUAAGCUAAUUUUGAUAAUUGCUUACAAGAACAAACAAAGACUAGACUUGAUUUGAGUGAGAGCUGAUGAAAAAGAUGUCUCUCGUUGGUUAGGGAUAGGGAGUGAGAAAAUAUCACCUAGUAGUACCAUGCUUUUUUUUCUUCCAAUUUUUGUGGCCAAUUAAUUGAUUCCACGUUCUUACCAUUAAUCAAUCAAAUAACUCAAGACAUUAGCUAGAGAGAACUUUUUAGAAGGACAGACAAAUUAAAAGUGGUAACACUUUAUUUCUUUCAUGUCCAAGAUUGAACUGGAUAUUCCUCAAUAGAUUGACUAGAUUAAUGCCACGUUUGAUCUAUUUUUAUAAAAAGAAAAGUGAAAGUAGAAAAAUGUUAAGAGGUGUUGGAUGACACAGAUUGCAGUUAGAGGACGGUUCAUGUUGCUUAGUUCUGCUGUUUGUGUGCAUGGGAGAGGGGUGCACACAAUUCCAAAUAAACAUAAUGCCAAGUUUUUCUUUUUCUUUUCCUAUUUGGAAUAUUUAUAGGGUUGAACCAAGUAUGAGUAUAUAUGCUAAUGCUACUGGUCCCGAUUCAUUGGUUGGCUUUAAAAGAUUGACAGCAAUUAAGUAAAGUCAACAAACAACAGCAUAACUUUUGUUUUUUUAUUGCAGGAAGUAAUAUAACUCAAAUACAGUGCACAUAACACCAAAAACGAAUCCCUACCAAAUACUCCCUCCGUCCCAAAUUGUAUGUCGCUUUGGAAAAAAAAAUUGUCCCAAAUUAUAUGUCGCUUUACAAUACCAAUGAAAUAUUAAUGUUACUUUUCCUAUUAUAUCUUUAACUAUUAAUUACCCUAUUUUCUUUCAAUUAUUUCAUUUAUCUUUCCCAUACCAUUUAUUAAGGAUAAUUUUGUAAAACAACUCAUAAUUUAUCUUCCCCACACAAUAUUAAUUACAUUUCUUAAUAUGUGUGAAAUGACCAAAACGUCAUACAAUUUAGGACGGAGGGAGUAUGUUUUCUUUAUAACUUCAUUCUUAAUAUUAUUUGAGAUAUCGUUGGAAAUUAAAUAUUGACGGUUGUUUUAGUUGAGAUUUAAACUUUGAUUUUUGCAUUUGAGAAAGUCUAAACAAACCGAUGUUGGUAAUCGUAGAGUUGAUGUAUCGUACACCAAUCCUAGACAUCAAACAUAACAAGAGUGAGUUUAGGGCACAUUAGCAAAUAGAUGCACAAAAGUUUGAGACAACCUUCUGUCCUUACUAUCUAAGAAAUAACCCACGUUAAAACUCGUUUAUGAGAAGAAAAAAACCUACACCCUAAGUUAUCCCAUUAUCAAACAAUAGAGUUUCUAAACAACUAAAUGCACCAAACUAUUGAAGUUGUUUGAUGUUUGCUUGGAGUCACACAUUAUUUAAGAUUGGGACUGUUGAAUGUAUAAAUGUGUUUGAAUAUCUUCAUUGUUUGAAGUAACUUUUGCAAUGAGAUUUAAGCCAAUUUAACAUGGUUUUAGAGUAGGAUUAAUACUGCAUUGUGAAAAUUGGACUAAGAUCCACAUUAGGUGUAAAGUGGGUAUUAAAGUUUGUUUAGAGUCCACAUUGCUCAAGUUUUUAAGUUGUUGGACGUACAAAUAUUGUUUGAGUACUCUUAUCCUUUAAGCUAACUUUAAGGACCAAAUUCUUUGUUGGUACCAAAUUCCAAGUUGGAAUUGAAAACUAUUAAAAGCUUUAGAGAGUUCGAAAUUUGAAGAGAAGAACACAAGAUCAAAUACAAACCCAUAAAAUAAAUGGGAGAGUGUGAACAUACACUGAUCAAUUAAAAUAUUUUACUAUCAAUUUCAAUAGUAAAUUUAAAAAUUGUAACUAUACGUCAACAAUGACGACAAGCCUAAUAGAUGCUGGAUGGAGGGACCUAUAGAAAGAAGUUGAUUUUAUGAUUUGUAAUUUGCCACGCAUGGAAGUCUCAAAUCUAAAUUUUUCACUCAUCUCAAGUCACGCAUGCCUUUAACCAUAAAACAAUGCUAGAAUUAGAAAAGCUAAGCCAUAUGAGUGUGGCUUAGGUGAAAAAUUUGAGUGUAGUACCACCCAAUUGGACAACAAAUCAAAGAGCCUUACAUUUUCCAAAUCCUUAUGCUAACUGCUCUUCAUUGUUUAUUAAGGUCACAGAAUGCUUAACUUUGGGAUCACAACCCACAUUUUAAUUUAUGUCAUUAUAUUAAAAUUUAUAUAUAAUGUGUGCAUUCGUUUGGGUCGGGGGUCAUUCUUUCUACACCAUUAUAAAUUUAUGACCCAUUUAUUUAUUUUUUAUCUACAUCUCAAGUACAUAGCGGAUUUAGUUUCAUUUGUUUAUCAAUGAAAGAUUAGAUUUUCGAUGUACAAGUUAUUAUAUCAACUUUGAUUUAAAUAUUUUAUUUAAGAGAGAAAAAUAAUUAACAAAAAAUGUUUUUCGAACACAAAUUUCAAUAGUGUAUACAUAUAUUUUGGUCUCACCACACACAUUUCAAUUAUAUUUUAAAUGGGAUCCUAUCAACUCUAUGACUUUUUCUGUUUAAAUAAAGCACUUCAUAAAAUAAAAUGGUGUAAAGAGUAUACGUAUAAUCACAUUUUAAACAUAUAUAGUAGGAGUAUAUCUUAUUUAUGAUAUAUUGCAUGUGCUUUUCCGUACGUACAACAAGUAUUGAGUAUUAACAACAAAAUAAUACCACUUAAUAAAAAAAAAAAAUAAGAAUGGCACCAUCUGCAAAUUAGAACACAAUAUGAGGCACUUUCAUAGCCUUCAUCACUAAGGCUAAGACGACACGCAACAUUUCACCCUACUAUAAAUACAUUCAAGCCCUAAUUAUGUUGUCUCCAAAAACAAAGUUCUCAAUCUUUUAGGAUAGCAAGUGAGUGUUAUUAGAAACAAAGAGAGAUUGAGACAGUUAGUAACAAAAGACACAAAAAUAUAACAAUGAAUCAUCAAGACCAAAUGAUGCUUAUGUCUCAGUUAUUCCCAGCUUGUGAAUACACCCAAAUCAUUUCUCAACAAGGUUAGUAUCAUAUUAAAUUAAUACAUAACAUUUUAUAUGUAUCAUCAAAAUUUCUAUGAAGUUAUAAUAUUUUUGUUAUGUUUUUUUAGGAGAGAAGAAACCAAAGCCAAGACGCAAGCGUAGUAAGAAGAACAAAGGUGGAGAAAACAGUGCUAACGACAUGAACAAAAAGAGGAAAUUGAGUGAUGAACAAGUGAAUAUUUUGGAAGAAAACUUUGGAAAUGAACAUAAACUUGAGUCAGAGAAGAAGGAUAGGCUUGCAAUGGAGCUUGGUUUAGAUCCAAGACAAGUUGCAGUAUGGUUCCAGAAUCGAAGGGCUAGG